GGAAGCAUGCCGGGUGCUAUACAUGCAGUCGAGCGACAGACGAGGAGCUUGCUCCUCUGACGUUAGCGGCGGACGGGUGAGUAACACGUGGAUAACCUACCUAUAAGACUGGGAUAACUUCGGGAAACCGGAGCUAAUACCGGAUAAUAUAUUGAACCGCAUGGUUCAAUAGUGAAAGACGGUUUUGCUGUCACUUAUAGAUGGAUCCGCGCCGCAUUAGCUAGUUGGUAAGGUAACGGCUUACCAAGGCAACGAUGCGUAGCCGACCUGAGAGGGUGAUCGGCCACACUGGAACUGAGACACGGUCCAGACUCCUACGGGAGGCAGCAGUAGGGAAUCUUCCGCAAUGGGCGAAAGCCUGACGGAGCAACGCCGCGUGAGUGAUGAAGGUCUUCGGAUCGUAAAACUCUGUUAUUAGGGAAGAACAAAUGUGUAAGUAACUAUGCACGUCUUGACGGUACCUAAUCAGAAAGCCACGGCUAACUACGUGCCAGCAGCCGCGGUAAUACGUAGGUGGCAAGCGUUAUCCGGAAUUAUUGGGCGUAAAGCGCGCGUAGGCGGUUUUUUAAGUCUGAUGUGAAAGCCCACGGCUCAACCGUGGAGGGUCAUUGGAAACUGGAAAACUUGAGUGCAGAAGAGGAAAGUGGAAUUCCAUGUGUAGCGGUGAAAUGCGCAGAGAUAUGGAGGAACACCAGUGGCGAAGGCGACUUUCUGGUCUGUAACUGACGCUGAUGUGCGAAAGCGUGGGGAUCAAACAGGAUUAGAUACCCUGGUAGUCCACGCCGUAAACGAUGAGUGCUAAGUGUUAGGGGGUUUCCGCCCCUUAGUGCUGCAGCUAACGCAUUAAGCACUCCGCCUGGGGAGUACGACCGCAAGGUUGAAACUCAAAGGAAUUGACGGGGACCCGCACAAGCGGUGGAGCAUGUGGUUUAAUUCGAAGCAACGCGAAGAACCUUACCAAAUCUUGACAUCCUCUGACCCCUCUAGAGAUAGAGUUUUCCCCUUCGGGGGACAGAGUGACAGGUGGUGCAUGGUUGUCGUCAGCUCGUGUCUUGAGAUGUUGGGUUAAGUCCCGCAACGAGCGCAACCCUUAAGCUUAGUUGCCAUCAUUAAGUUGGGCACCCUAAGUUGACUGCCGGUGACAAACCGGAAGGAAAGUGGGGAUGACGUCAAAUCAUCAUAGCCCCUUAUGAUUUGGGC
rnacentral:rRNA from 1 species